UACAGAGGUCCCAAGCGUUGUUCGGAUUCAUUGGGCGUAAAGGGUGCGUAGGCGGCGCGGUAAGUCGGGUGUGAAAUCUCGGGGCUUAACUCCGAAACUGCAUUCGAUACUGCCGUGCUUGAGGACUGGAGAGGAGACUGGAAUUUACGGUGUAGCGGUGAAAUGCGUAGAUAUCGUAAGGAAGACCAGUGGUGAAGGCGGGUCUCUGGACAGUUCCUGACGCUGAGGCACGAAGGCCAGGGGAGCAAACGGG
rnacentral:rRNA from 1 species